rnacentral:rRNA from 1 species
GGGAAACUGCCUGAUGGAGGGGGAUAACUACUGGAAACGGUAGCUAAUACCGCAUAACGUCGCAAGACCAAAGAGGGGGACCUUCGGGCCUCUUGCCAUCAGAUGUGCCCAGAUGGGAUUAGCUAGUAGGUGGGGUAACGGCUCACCUAGGCGACGAUCCCUAGCUGGUCUGAGAGGAUGACCAGCCACACUGGAACUGAGACACGGUCCAGACUCCUACGGGAGGCAGCAGUGGGGAAUAUUGCACAAUGGGCGCAAGCCUGAUGCAGCCAUGCCGCGUGUAUGAAGAAGGCCUUCGGGUUGUAAAGUACUUUCAGCGGGGAGGAAGGUGCUGAGGUUAAUAACCUCAGCAAUUGACGUUACCCGCAGAAGAAGCACCGGCUAACUCCGUGCCAGCAGCCGCGGUAAUACGGAGGGUGCAAGCGUUAAUCGGAAUUACUGGGCGUAAAGCGCACGCAGGCGGUCUGUCAAGUCGGAUGUGAAAUCCCCGGGCUCAACCUGGGAACUGCAUUCGAAACUGGCAGGCUAGAGUCUUGUAGAGGGGGGUAGAAUUCCAGGU